rnacentral:rRNA from 1 species
UUGAACGCUGGCGGCAGGCCUAACACAUGCAAGUCGAACGGUAACAGGAAACAGCUUGCUGUUUCGCUGACGAGUGGCGGACGGGUGAGUAAUGUCUGGGAAACUGCCCGAUGGAGGGGGAUAACUACUGGAAACGGUAGCUAAUACCGCAUAACGUCGCAAGACCAAAGAGGGGGACCUUAGGGCCUCUUGCCAUCGGAUGUGCCCAGAUGGGAUUAGCUAGUAGGUGGGGUAAAGGCUCACCUAGGCGACGAUCCCUAGCUGGUCUGAGAGGAUGACCAGCCACACUGGAACUGAGACACGGUCCAGACUCCUACGGGAGGCAGCAGUGGGGAAUAUUGCACAAUGGGCGCAAGCCUGAUGCAGCCAUGCCGCGUGUAUGAAGAAGGCCUUCGGGUUGUAAAGUACUUUCAGCGGGGAGGAAGGGAGUAAAGUUAAUACCUUUGCUCAUUGACGUUACCCGCAGAAGAAGCACCGGCUAACUCCGUGCCAGCAGCCGCGGUAAUACGGAGGGUGCAAGCGUUAAUCGGAAUUACUGGGCGUAAAGCGCACGCAGGCGGUUUGUUAAGUCAGAUGUGAAAUCCCCGGGCUCAACCUGGGAACUGCAUCUGAUACUGGCAAGCUUGAGUCUCGUAGAGGGGGGUAGAAUUCCAAGUGUAGCGGUGAAAUGCGUAGAGAUCUGGAGGAAUACCGGUGGCGAAGGCGGCCCCCUGGACGAAGACUGACGCUCAGGUGCGAAAGCGUGGGGAGCAAACAGGAUUAGAUACCCUGGUAGUCCACGCCGUAAACGAUGUCGACUUGGAGGUUGUGCCCUUGAGGCGUGGCUUCCGGAGCUAACGCGUUAAGUCGACCGCCUGGGGAGUACGGCCGCAAGGUUAAAACUCAAAUGAAUUGACGGGGGCCCGCACAAGCGGUGGAGCAUGUGGUUUAAUUCGAUGCAACGCGAAGAACCUUACCUGGUCUUGACAUCCACGGAAGUUUUCAGAGAUGAGAAUGUGCCUUCGGGAACCGUGAGACAGGUGCUGCAUGGCUGUCGUCAGCUCGUGUUGUGAAAUGUUGGGUUAAGUCCCGCAACGAGCGCAACCCUUAUCCUUUGUUGCCAGCGGUCCGGCCGGGAACUCAAAGGAGACUGCCAGUGAUAAACUGGAGGAAGGUGGGGAUGACGUCAAGUCAUCAUGGCCCUUACGACCAGGGCUACACACGUGCUACAAUGGCGCAUACAAAGAGAAGCGACCUCGCGAGAGCAAGCGGACCUCAUAAAGUGCGUCGUAGUCCGGAUUGGAGUCUGCAACUCGACUCCAUGAAGUCGGAAUCGCUAGUAAUCGUGGAUCAGAAUGCCACGGUGAAUACGUUCCCGGGCCUUGUACACACCGCCCGUCACACCAUGGGAGUGGGUUGCAAAAGAAGUAGGUAGCUUAACCUUCGGGAGGGCGCUUACCACUUUGUGAUUCAUGACUGGGGUG